rnacentral:tRNA from 1 species
UGAACCAUGUCGAUUUUACGAGAAAAAUUGUCAAUUUUUAUCAAAAAAUGUCAUUUUUUUUCGCUCGU